rnacentral:rRNA from 1 species
GCGGCGAGUGAAGCGGCAAAAGCUCAAAUUUGAAAUCUGGCGCCUUCGGUGUCCGAGUUGUAAUUUGAAGAUUGUAACCUUGGGGUUGGCUCUUGUCUAUGUUUCUUGGAACAGGACGUCACAGAGGGUGAGAAUCCCGUGCGAUGAGAUGCCCAAUUCUAUGUAAGGUGCUUUCGAAGAGUCGAGUUGUUUGGGAAUGCAGCUCUAAGUGGGUGGUAAAUUCCAUCUAAAGCUAAAUAUUGGCGAGAGACCGAUAGCGAACAAGUACAGUGAUGGAAAGAUGAAAAGAACUUUGAAAAGAGAGUGAAAAAGUACGUGAAAUUGUUGAAAGGGAAGGGUUUGAGAUCAGACUCGAUAUUUUGUGAGCCUUGCCUUCGUGGCGGGGUGACCCGCAGCUUAUCGGGCCAGCAUCGGUUUGGGCGGUAGGAUAAUGGCGUAGGAAUGUGACUUUACUUCGGUGAAGUGUUAUAGCCUGCGUUGAUGCUGCCUGCCUAGACCGAGGACUGCGAUUUUAUCAAGGAUGCUGGCAUAAUGAUCCCAAACCGCCCG